GACGUAGGGGGCCAGCGUUGUUCGGAAUUACUGGGUGUAAAGGGUUCGUAGGCGGUGUGGCAAGUCGGGAGUGAAAUCUCUGGGCUCAACUCAGAGACUGCUUCCGAAACUGCUGUGCUGGAGUGUGGGAGAGGCGCGUGGAAUUGCAGGUGUAGCGGUGAAAUGCGUAGAUAUCGGGAGGAACACCAAUAGCGAAGGCAGCUCGCUGGGACGUUACUGACACUGAGGCGCGAAAGCGUGGGGAGCGAACAGG
rnacentral:rRNA from 1 species